rnacentral:rRNA from 1 species
AAGGCGCUGCGCUAACCGCAAGGAGGCAGGCGACCACGGUGGGUUUAGCGACUGGGGUGAAGUCGUAACAAGGUAGCCGUAGGGGAACCUGCGGCUGGAUCACCUCCUUUCUAAGG